AGAGGGAGGACUGGGUGCAUUGUUGGCUGGCUGAAUAAGCAGCAGGACUGUGGACAGGUCAGUGUGGUCAGGCUGAGCCUGGAGGACUGAGCCCAGAACAUGGCCUGACCAGCUGAGGGCAGUGAGACUGAGCAGACAGAGGGCUGCUGAAAGGACACCAGCUGUGGGUACCAGAUGGGUCCUGGUUGGAUUGUUGAAGAAGGCAGGGCCUCUGGGAAGAACCCAUAGAGGGCCAAGGAACCCUACCAACAUCACCUCCUGCAGCACCUGGCUUUCUCUUGAGGACUGCCAUCCAACGCCUGACCCCGCUCAGCUUGUGAAUGCUGACAAGUUCACACCCUGAGGUUACAGAACUGCAGUUCCAGACUAACCUACUCCGAAGGGACACUCCAAUAUCCACCCUGCUGGUAUCACCACGCCAAACAAAGAAUCUCACUGGAAUAUGGGAGUCUCAUACAGGGGCAGGGUAAGCCCAGAGACUUUUUAAUCAUACUGCAUAGGUUUGUGAAGCUUUAAAUCUAUAUAGUUUAUUUUAUAACCAAUGGGGUCUGGAAACAACCUGAGACUUAACCUUGACGUGUGAUGGAAGGAAGAAGACAGCAUAAUGUGGGAAUGUUUAAGGGGGGGGGGGGAGCUGUAGGUCUCUUUGUGUAUUUCUCCUGAUCCCUUAUGGGGAACUCUGAAAAUGAAAAUCGGGUUUUUAAAUCCUCCGUUUGAGUUUGGUAGAGAACUAUAUCCCUGUCUAACAGAUGGCAGGGAUACCCCUUUACCUCUGUUAGCCCUGCCCUGCCACACCUGUGCAGGGUGGGACUUAAAAGGAAGCCCAGCAGUGGCCAGCUGGCUAAAAAGAGGAGCAGAUGGUGGUGAGAGGGUCAGAGGCAAACACAAGCCAGGCAGAGAGAGGCAUGUGGAGGACUUUAGGCAGGAAAACCUGGGAGGGGUUACUUGUGAGAGAGCAACCCCAAGGGGUUGAGGGGAGGAUGAAAAGGACAGGAUAUAAACUGAGUCCAAAGUGUGCUCAGAGGAGUGCUUGAAUUAGAGAAGAGAAGACAGCCCCCUUGGGGAAGAGGAGCUGGGCCUUGCUGGAGACUGGGGCAAGGAGUUUGUUUUGUUUUUGGAACUGGAUACCCUGGAAGGGGUGGAUUUUUGUUAAUACCUUAGCUGAACGGCCAAAUCAUUGUGGGGAAACUGAGGCAGAGAUGCUGUAGGGCCACCCCAGGCCAUGGGGGGGGAAGGAGACUUGGAGGUGGUAACCCUGUUGCACCCUGCCAUAUGGGUUGGCUAUGGUUAUCUCUAUAAAAGGGACACAGUUAACCUGAAAUAUAUCUAUUUUAAAAAGUAGUAAAAAUCGCUAUCAGAGAUCCCUGACAACUUUUGUGGGUUUACAACCCCAUUUGCCUGCUUUUAAAAAUGUCUCCAUCUCCCUUGUUGCUGUGUGAAACAACAGAGUGACUAAAGAAACAGACUAUGUACAAAUGCCCAGCGUGACCACAUUAAAAAUACAAAAAAUAUUUUCUCGCUCUAAUUUCUUUUGGUUAUGGUCAUUUGAGAGAUUAGCAGUAACAAUAGCAGGUGGAAAU